rnacentral:rRNA from 1 species
AACGAACGCUGGCGGCAUGCCUAACACAUGCAAGUCGAACGAGAACUUCGGGUCUAGUGGCGCACGGGUGCGUAACGCGUGGGAACCUGCACUUAGGUUCGGAAUAACUCCCCGAAAGGGGUGCUAAUACCGGAUAAUGUCUUCGGACCAAAGAUUUAUCGCCUUUGGAUGGGCCCGCGUUGGAUUAGCUAGUUGGGAGGGUAAAAGCCUACCAAGGCGACGAUCCAUAGCUGGUCUUAGAGGAUGAUCAGCCACACUGGGACUGAGACACGGCCCAGACUCCUACGGGAUGCAGCAGUGGGGAAUAUUGGACAAUGGGCGAAAGCCUGAUCCAGCAAUGCCGCGUGAGUGAUGAAGGCCUUAGGGUUGUAAAGCUCUUUUACCCGGGAUGAUAAUGACAGUACCGGGAGAAUAAGCUCCGGCUAACUCCGUG